ACGGUCCUAAGGUAGCGAAAUUCCUUGUCGGGUAAGUUCCGACCUGCACGAAUGGCGUAACGAUCUCCACACUGUCUCGGCCAGAGACUCGGUGAAAUUGCAGUCGCGGUGAAAAUUCCGUGUACCCGCAGAAAGACGGAAAGACCCUGUGCACCUUUACUAUAGCUUGACAUUGGGAUUUGAGCCUGCAUGUGUAGCAUAGGUGGGAGCCUGUGAACCCUGUACGCCAGUAUGGGGGGAGGCAACGUUGAAAUACCACCCUUGUUUGUUCAGGUCCCUAACUCCUUGCCGUUACCCGGUAGGAGGACAGUGUCUGGUGGGUAGUUUGACUGGGGCGGUCGCCUCCCAAAAUGUAACGGAGGCAUGCAAAGGUUCCCUCAGGCUGAUUGGAAACCAGCCGUCGAGUGCAAACGCAAAAGGGAGCUUGACUGCAAGAGAGACAUCUCGAGCAGGUACGAAAGUAGGUGUUAGUGAUCCGGUGAUCCCGAAUGGAAGGGUCAUCGCUCAUUGGAUAAAAGGUACGCCGGGGAUAACAGGCUGAUCGCAUCCAAGAGUUCACAUCGACGAUGCGGUUUGGCACCUCGAUGUCGGCUCAUCACAUCCUGGGGCUGAAGUAGGUCCCAAGGGUUGGGCUGUUCGCCCAUUAAAGUGGUACGUGAGCUGGGUUCAGAACGUCGUGAGACAGUUCGGUCCCUAUCCAUCGCGGGCGCAAGAGAUUUGAAGGGGGCUGCUCCUAGUACGAGAGGACCGGAGUGGACGAACCAAUGGUGUACCAAUUAUCUCGCCAGAGGUAUAGUUGGGUAGCUACGUUCGGAAAGGAUAAACGCUGAAAGCAUCUAAGCGUGAAACCAGCCUUAAGAUGAGAUCUCUCAUAGAGUAAUCUAGUAAGACACCUUGGAGAAGACGAGGUUGAUAGGUCGGGAGUGUAAGUACAGUAAUGUAUUCAGCGGACCGAUACUAAUAUGUCGAGGGCUUGACUUA
rnacentral:rRNA from 1 species